rnacentral:rRNA from 1 species
AGAGUUUGAUUCUGGCUCAGAGUGAACGCUGGCGGCGUGCUUAACACAUGCAAGUCGAACGGAGAAAGAGAGGUUCGCCUUUCUUUCUUAGUGGCGCACGGGUGAGUAAUGUAUAGCUAACCUGCCCCUUGGUGGGGGACAACAGAUGGAAACGUCUGCUAAUACCCCAUACUCCUUCUUACUCUAAGGUAAGUCGGGAAAACUCCGGUGCCAAGGGAUGGGGCUGUAUCCUAUCAGCUUGUUGGUGAGGUAAUGGCUCACCAAGGCAAUGACGGGUAGCUGGUCUGAGAGGAUGGUCAGCCACACUGGAACUGAGACACGGUCCAGACUCCUACGGGAGGCAGCAGUGGGGAAUAUUGCACAAUGGGGGAAACCCUGAUGCAGCAACGCCGCGUGGAGGAUGACGCAUUUCGGUGUGUAAACUCCUUUUAUAGGGGAAGAUAAUGACGGUACCCUAUGAAUAAGCACCGGCUAACUCCGUGCCAGCAGCCGCGGUAAUACGGAGGGUGCAAGCGUUACUCGGAAUCACUGGGCGUAAAGGGUGCGUAGGCGGGUUGUCAAGUUCUGAGUGAAAUCCAACGGCUCAACCGUUGAACUGCUUGGAAAACUGGCAGCCUAGAGUGAGGGAGAGGCAGAUGGAAUUGGUGGUGUAGGGGUAAAAUCCGUAGAGAUCACCAGGAAUACCCAUUGCGAAGGCGAUCUGCUGGAACUCAACUGACGCUGAGGCACGAAAGCGUGGGGAGCAAACAGGAUUAGAUACCCUGGUAGUCCACGCCCUAAACGAUGAACACUAGUUGUUGCCCUGCACGUCAGGGCAGUAAUGCACCUAACGGAUUAAGUGUUCCGCCUGGGGAGUACGGUCGCAAGAUUAAAACUCAAAGGAAUAGACGGGGACCCGCACGAGCGGUGGAGCAUGUGGUUUAAUUCGAAGAUACGCGAAAACCUUACCUGGCCUUGAUAUCCUUCAAAUCCUGUAGAGAUACGGGAGUGCUAGCUUGCUAGAAUGAAGUGACAGGUGCUGCACGGCUGUCGUCAGCUCGUGUCGUGAGAUGUUGGGUUAAGUCCCGCAACGAGCGCAACCCUCGUGUUUAGUUGCUAACAGUUCGGCUGAGCACUCUAAACAGACUGCCUUCGUAAGGAGGAGGAAGGUGAGGACGACGUCAAGUCAUCAUGGCCCUUAUGGCCAGGGCUACACACGUGCUACAAUGGAUAGGACAAUGAGACGCAAUACCGCGAGGUGGAGCAAAUCUAUAAACCUAUUCUCAGUUCGGAUUGUUCUCUGCAACUCGAGAACAUGAAGCUGGAAUCGCUAGUAAUCGUAGAUCAGCAUUGCUACGGUGAAUACGUUCCCGGGUCUUGUACUCACCGCCCGUCACACCAUGGGAGUUGAUUUCACCCGAAGCCAGGAAGCUAGAAUAGCUACUGUCCACGGUGGGAUUAGCGACUGGGGUGAAGUCGUAACAAGGUAACCG